rnacentral:rRNA from 1 species
CCUGGGGAGUACGGUCGCAAGAUUAAAACUCAAAGGAAUUGACGGGGACCCGCACAAGCGGUGGAUGAUGUGGAUUAAUUCGAUGCAACGCGAAAAACCUUACCUACCCUUGACAUGUCAGGAAGUCCGGAGAGAUCUGGAUGUGCCCGAAAGGGAGCCUGAACACAGGUGCUGCAUGGCUGUCGUCAGCUCGUGUCGUGAGAUGUUGGGUUAAGUCCCGCAACGAGCGCAACCCUUGUCAUUAGUUGCUACGCAAGAGCACUCUAAUGAGACUGCCGGUGACAAACCGGAGGAAGGUGGGGAUGACGUCAAGUCCUCAUGGCCCUUAUGGGUAGGGCUUCACACGUCAUACAAUGGUACAUACAGAGGGCCGCCAACCCGCGAGGGGGAGCUAAUCCCAGAAAGUGUAUCGUAGUCCGGAUCGCAGUCUGCAACUCGACUGCGUGAAGUUGGAAUCGCUAGUAAUCGCGGAUCAGCAUGUCGCGGUGAAUACGUUCCCGGGUCUUGUACACACCGCCCGUCACACCAUGGGAGCGGGUUUUACCAGAAGUAGGUAGCUUAACCGCAAGGAGGGCGCUUACCACGGUAGGAUUCGUGACUGGGGUGAAGUCGUAACAAGGUAGCCGUAUCGGAAGGUGCGGCUGGAUCACCUCCUUU